GCUAAACGUGCCACAGAGUGAUUCCUCUGAUGGAUUUGGGCAAAGUUAAUUGCAAACCUUCUGGAAAGGAUUCACCAUUCUAGAUGCUAUUAAGAACAUUUGUGAUUCAUGGGAAGAGGUCAAAAUAUUAACAUUAACAGGAGCUUGGAAGAAGUUGAUUCCAACCCUCAUGGAUGACUCUGAGGAGUUCACAACUUCGGUGGAGGAAGUACCUGCAGAUGUGGUAGAAAUAGCAAGAGAGCUAGAAAUGGAGCCUGAAGGUGUGACUGAAGUGCUGUAGUCUCAUGACAAAACUUGAACAGAUAAGGAGCUGCUUCUUAGGGAUGAGCAAAGAAAGUGGUUUCUUGAGAUGGAAUCUACUCCUGGUGAAGAUGCUGUGAAGAUUGUUGAAAUGAUAACAAAGGAUUUAGAGCAUUAUAUAAACUUAGUUGAUAAAGCAGCAGCAGGGUUUGAAAGGAUUGACUCAGAUUUUGAAAGAAGUUCUACUGUGGGUAAAAUGCUAUCAAACAGCAUCGCACAGUACACAGAGGAAUCGUUCAUGAAAGGAAGAGUCAAUUGAUGUGGCAAACUUCACUGUCCUAUUGUAAGAAAUUGCCACAGACACCUUACCCUGAUCAGUCAGCAGCCGUCAACAUCGAGACAAGACACUCCACCAGCUAAAUGAUUAUGACUUGCUGAAGGCUCAGAUGAUGGUUAGCAUUUUUUAGCAAUAAAGUAUUUUUUAAAUAAGGUCAUUCCUUCCUUUGAUAUGAAUCAUCUCUGAGAACCUGGUAACAGGCACAUCAUUGUCAAGAAGUUAAAAGCAAUUGAUAAGUUGUUCUGGUAACACCUGUCAGUGAAAUAACUCAGAGUACAAAACCCAGGCAUUUAAGGAGUUGACAAGUAUUAUUAAACCUGUUUUGCAAGAGAAGAAGCUGGUUCAAAGAGGGAAAAGCUGUCAAAGGUUGCUCUGUCCUGCAGAACAGCCCAGAACAGAAACAGAAAUCCUGGAGUGGGGAGAGGAUGGCCCUGGGCAAGGCUCUGUUAGGCUGCACCUGCAAGAAGCCAGCCGGAGGCAACUGGCGGCUAGAAAAAGAUGCGGCGAGGCCAGAUGAAUCUGAAGUAGUAACAAGUGCCUUCCCAUAAAACACAAAGAUAUUCUUAUUGAAUAUAGUAGGUCCCCUACAUACGAAACUUCAAGUUGUGAACUUUCCAAGAUGCGAACGUGCGUUCCAUCAGCGUCAGGCAUGAGUGAAAUUGCAGCUUACCCUCCGUCUCCUAUUGCUGACGAUCCUUCAUCUGUACCAUCUCCUACCUCCUCUUCCUGCUCCAGUCAGUAACGCUUCUU